rnacentral:rRNA from 1 species
GGCUCAGAUUGAACGCUGGCGGCAGGCCUAACACAUGGCAAGUCGAACGGCAGCGGGGGGUAGCUUGCUACCCGCCGGCGAGUGGCGGACGGGUGAGUAAUGCCUGGGGAGCUGCCCAAUCGAGGGGAUACCAGUUGGAAACGACUGCUAAUACCGCAUACGCCCUGAGGGGAAAGGUGGGGCUCGCAAGACCUUGCGCUGAUUGAGCGGCCGAUAUCAGAUUAGCUAGUUGGUGAGGUAAAAGCUCACCAAGGCGACGAUCUGUAGCGGGUCUGAGAGGAUGAUCCGCCACACUGGAACUGAGACACGGUCCAGACUCCUACGGGAGGCAGCAGUGAGGAAUAUUGGUCAAUGGAGGCAACUCUGAACCAGCCAUGCCGCGUGAAGGAUGAAGGUCCUCUGGAUUGUAAACUUCUUUAUAGAAGAAGAAACCCCAUUUUUCUAAAUGGGUUGACGGUACUCUAUGAAUAAGCACCGGCUAACUCCGUG